rnacentral:snRNA from 2 species
AUACCUUUCUCGGCCUUUUGGCUAAGAUCAAGCGUAGUAUCUGUUCUUAUCAGUUUAAUAUCUUAUAUGUGGGCUAUGUGUCCACAACGAUAUUAAAUUUAUUUUUUGUGAGGGAGGGUCCAUCACAGUGCCACUGGGGCCUUUAGGUGUUGCACUACAGCCCAGGCAGGCGCACCCCAA